rnacentral:snoRNA from 1 species
CCCCUCUCAGGAUCGCAACUGGAGAGUUUUCAAUACUCUUCCAGUCUCGGCUUUGGGAGGGAGAGUCAAGCAGAAGCAUACCCAUUUCAUUCCUAGCUUAGGCAGUGGCUAGCUAGUGGAAGGCAAUCUGCUAAAGUC